rnacentral:rRNA from 1 species
CGUAAUAGCUCACUGGUCGAGAGGUCCUGCGCCGAAAAUGUCCGGGGCUGAAACACACCACCGAAGCUCGGGAAUUGAUCUGAUCAAUUGGUAGAGGAGCAUUGCAUACGGGAAGAAGCAGUACCGGAAGGAGCUGUGGACUGUAUGGAAGAGAGAAUGCCGGAAUGAGUAGCGAGAGGAAGGUGAGAAUCCUUCCGGCCGAAUAUCCAAGGUUUCCAGAGUAAAGCUGAUCUGCUCUGGGUAAGUCGGGACCUAAGGCGAGGCCGAGAGGCGUAGCCGAUGGACAACAGGUUGAGAUUCCUGUACUACGAUAUGACAGAACUGUGGGGACGCAGAAAGAGAGCACUACCGGGAAUGGAGAGACCGGGGCAAGCGAGGUAGGAGGCAGGUAGGCAAAUCCGCCUGCCAAUCUGAAGACGUGAUGCAUACCGAACUAAGAGUAGGGAAAUGUGUGAGCUGGCUGCCAAGAAAAGCCGCUAUUGUUCAUAUCGUACCCGUACCGUAAACCGACACAGGUAGAUGAGGAGAGAAUCCUAAGGCCGACGGGAGAAGCAUUGUUAAGGAACUCGGCAAAAUGACUCCGUAACUUCGGGAGAAGGAGUGCCAUGCGAAUGGCCGCAGAGAAUUGGCCCAAGCAACUGUUUAGCAAAAACACAGGUCUAUGCGAAACCGAAAGGUGAGGUAUAUGGGCUGACGCCUGCCCGGUGCUGGAAGGUUAAGGGGAGAGGUUAGCGCAAGCGAAGCUUUGAACUUAAGCCCCAGUAAACGGCGGCCGUAACUAUAACGGUCCUAAGGUAGCGAAAUUCCUUGUCGGGUAAGUUCCGACCCGCACGAAAGGCGUAAUGAUUUGGGCACUGUCUCGACAAUGCACCCGGUGAAAUUGAAAUACCAGUGAAGAUGCUGGUUACCUGCGCCAGGACGGAAAGACCCCAUGGAGCUUUACUCCAGCUUGAUACUGGGAUUCGGUAUUGCAUGUACAGGAUAGGUGGGAGGCUAGGAAGAGAAGACGCCAGUCUUUUUGGAGCCGCUGUUGGGAUACCACCCUUGCAGUGCUGGGUUUCUAACCUGCAGCCGUGAUCCGGCUGGGGGACAAUGUCAGGUGGGGAGUUUGACUGGGGCGGUCGCCUCCGAAAGGGUAUCGGAGGCGCUCAAAGGUUCCCUCAGAAUGGUCGGAAACCAUUCGAAGAGUGCAAAGGCAGAAGGGAGCUUGACUGCGACACCGACGGGUGGAGCAGGUACGAAAGUAGGACUUAGUGAUCCGGUGGUAUAAAGUGGGAUUGCCAUCGCUCAACGGAUAAAAGCUACCCUGGGGAUAACAGGCUUAUCACUCCCAAGAGUUCACAUCGACGGAGUGGUUUGGCACCUCGAUGUCGGCUCAUCGCAUCCUGGGGCUGAAGUAGGUCCCAAGGGUUGGGCUGUUCGCCCAUUAAAGCGGUACGCGAGCUGGGUUCAGAACGUCGUGAGACAGUUCGGUCCCUAUCCGGCGUGGGCGUAGGAUAUUUGAGAGGAGCUGUCCUUAGUACGAGAGGACCGGGAUGGACUGGCCGCUGGUGUAUCUGUUGUAUUACCAAGUGCAUAGCAGAGUAGCCAAGCCGGGAAGGGAUAAACGCUGAAGGCAUCUAAGCGUGAAGCCCCCCUCAAGAUGAGAUAUCCCUACGAAAGUAGUAAGACCCCUUGA